rnacentral:rRNA from 1 species
AGUGAACGCUGGCGGUAGGCCUAACACAUGCAAGUCGAACGGCAGCACAGUAAGAGCUUGCUCUUACGGGUGGCGAGUGGCGGACGGGUGAGGAAUACAUCGGAAUCUACUUUUUCGUGGGGGAUAACGUAGGGAAACUUACGCUAAUACCGCAUACGACCUACGGGUGAAAGCAGGGGAUCUUCGGACCUUGCGCGAUUGAAUGAGCCGAUGUCGGAUUAGCUAGUUGGCGGGGUAAAGGCCCACCAAGGCGACGAUCCGUAGCUGGUCUGAGAGGAUGAUCAGCCACACUGGAACUGAGACACGGUCCCGACUCCUACGGGAGGCAGCAGUGGGGAAUAUUGGACAAAGGGCGGAAGCCUGAUCCAGCCAUACCGCGUGGGUGAAAAAGGCCUUCGGGUUUUAAAGCCCUUUUUUUGGGAAAGAAAAGCAGCAGGUUAAUACCCCGCUGUUCUGACGGUACCCAAAGAAUAAGCACCGGCUAACUUCGUG